GACGAACGCUGGCGGCGUGCCUAAUACAUGCAAGUUGAGCGAUGAAGAUUGGUGCUUGCACCAAUUUGAAGAGCAGCGAACGGGUGAGUAACGCGUGGGGAAUCUGCCUUUGAGCGGGGGACAACAUUUGGAAACGAAUGCUAAUACCGCAUAACAACUUUAAACAUAAGUUUUAAGUUUGAAAGAUGCAAUUGCAUCACUCAAAGAUGAUCCCGCGUUGUAUUAGCUAGUUGGUGAGGUAAAGGCUCACCAAGGCGAUGAUACAUAGCCGACCUGAGAGAGUGAUCGGCCACAUUGGGACUGAGACACGGCCCAAACUCCUACGGGAGGCAGCAGUAGGGAAUCUUCGGCAAUGGACGAAAGUCUGACCGAGCAACGCCGCGUGAGUGAAGAAGGUUUUCGGAUCGUAAAACUCUGUUGGUAGAGAAGAACGUUGGUGAGAGUGGAAAGCUCAUCAAGUGACGGUAACUACCCAGAAAGGGACGGCUAACUACGUG
rnacentral:rRNA from 1 species